rnacentral:rRNA from 1 species
GACGUAGGGGGCCAGCGUUGUUCGGAAUUACUGGGUGUAAAGGGUUCGUAGGCGGUGUGGCAAGUCGGGAGUGAAAUCUCGGAGCUUAACUCCGAAACUGCAUUCGAUACUGCCGUGCUUGAGGACUGGAGAGGAGACUGGAAUUUACGGUGUAGCGGUGAAAUGCGUAGAUAUCGUAAGGAAGACCAGUGGCGAAGGCGGGUCUCUGGACAGUUCCUGACGCUGAGGCACGAAGGCCAGGGGAGCAAACGGG